ensembl:snRNA U6 U6 spliceosomal RNA
GUGCACACUUCCGCAGCAUAUAUACUAAAAUUAGAACAAAACAGAGAAGACUAGUAUGGCCCCAGGGCAAGAAUGACAUGCAAAUCCAUGAAAUAUUCCAUAUUAAA